GCUUGUCUCAAAGAUUAAGCCAUGCAUGUCUCAGUAUAAGCUUCUAUACGGUGAAACUGCGAAUGGCUCAUUAAAACAGUUACAGUUCAUUUGAUGGUUACUCCUUACAUGGAUAACUGUGGUAAUUCUAGAGCUAAUACAUGCGCCCAAACCUGACUCCGUGGAAGGGUUGUGUUUAUUAGUUACAGAACCAACCCAGGCUCUGCCUGGUCUUGUGGUGAUUCAUAAUAACUGUUCGGAUCGUAUGGCUUUUUGCCGACGACAGAUCAUUCAAAUUUCUGCCCUAUCAGCUUUCGACGGUACUGUAGUGGACUACCGUGGCAUUAACGGGUGACGGAGAAUUAGGGUUCGAUUCCGGAGAGGGAGCCUGAGAAAUGGCUACCACAUCCAAGGAAGGCAGCAGG
rnacentral:rRNA from 1 species